UACGUAGGGCGCAAGCGUUGUCCGGAUUUACUGGGCGUAAAGCGCGCGCAGGCGGCACUGUAAGUAAGGUGUGAAAUCUCCCUGCUCAACGGGGAGGGUGCACUUUAGACUGCAGAGCUAGAGGACGGUAGAGGGGGGUGGAAUUGCUGGUGUAGCGGUGAAAUGCGUAGAGAUCAGCAGGAACACCCGUGGCGAAGGCGGCCCCCUGGGCCGAACCUGACGCUGAGGCGCGAAGGCUAGGGGAGCGAACGGG
rnacentral:rRNA from 1 species